AGAGUUUGAUCAUGGCUCAGGACGAACGCUUGCGGCGUGCCUAAGAAAUGCAAGUCGAACGGACAGUAGUAAUACUGUUAGUGGCGAACGGUCGCGUAACACGUAAGAAACCUGCCUCGGAGUGGGGGACAACGGCCCGAAAGGGCCGCUAAUACCGCAUGUACACAAUAUUCGGCAUCGUUUGUUGUGUAAAGCUUUAUGCGCUUCGAGAUGGUCUUGCGGCCUAUCAGGUAGAUGGUGGGGUAACGGCCUACCAUGCCGACGACGGGUAGCUGGUCUGAGAGGACGAUCAGCCGGAUUGGGACUGAGAUACGGCCCAGACUCCUACGGGGGGCAGCAAUUAGGAAUCUUGCGCAAUGGGCGAAAGCCUGACGCAGCGACGCCGCGUGAGGGACGACGGCCUUCGGGUUGUAAACCUCUUUUGCCGGGGAAGAAGAACGUGACGGUACCCGGCGAAUAAGCCCCGGCUAACUACGUGCCAGCAGCCGCGGUAAUACGUAGGGGGCGAGCGUUGUCCGAAGUUACUGGGCGUAAAGCGCGCGUAGGCGGCCUCUUAAGUCCGGGGUGAAAGGUUCAGCGCUCAACGCGAACAGUGCCUUGGAUACUGGGGGGCUUGAAUGUGGCAGAGGAUAGUGGAAUGGCUGGUGUAGCGGUGAAAUGCGUAGAUAUCAGUCGGAACACCCAUGGCGAAGGCAGCUAUCUGGGCUAACAUUGACGCUGAGGUGCGAAAGCGUGGGGAGCGAACGGGAUUAGAUACCCCUGUAGUCC
rnacentral:rRNA from 1 species